UUUGUCCCAUCUGUGUUUUUAGUCCAUUUCCACAUUUCAAUCCUGUGCUGGAUCCAUGAAACCAGUUGGUUCCAGUGGGCCGUCCUUCACUGGUCCAUUUGUGUUGUUGGUUUGUUUCCUGCUGUCAACAUGAUUGUAAACACACACAUUUGAUGGGAGCCCUGAAGCUGUUGGGACAUGUGAGCCCAGUCCAAACCAUGACACAAACAUUCAACCUUCAUGUUGAACACUGGCUCCAUCCUCUAGUUGUCUUCAAUGCAGAUUCCUGCUCAUAAACCUCAGAAUGGUUUUGUGUGUCAGCUCCAUCCAGCCUCUCUCUGGACUGUUUGGAUGAUGCUCUGAUCAAAUCCAUGCACACAUUUGGACACUUCCACUCACUUGUUCUUUUCAACACUUCCUUUAAUGGUUCACAUAUUGAAUUGAUCCAAACCUGGGGCUCAAAUCCAUCAUUUGUCCCAUUCUUUGUGUUUGUGUCAAGAACUGAAAAUCUGUUCAAUACCAUUUGAUUUUCUGUUUGACAAAGAAGGAAAAUCCAGUCCUUUAGAAAUGUUGAAUCUGCUGUUUCUGAUCAGGAAAAUCAAACAGGAAAAUCCAAUCCACUGUGUUUUUAUUGAACGUCUGUUGGUGAAAAUGUGCUCAGAAACAACAGAUCUGUCUAGAAAACACUGGAUUGAUCUUUUAUUGAUCAGUAUUGAUCAGAGUCAGACUCACACAUGAUCCAUCCAUCAAUAACAGUUGAAUUGAACCCAGUCAUGUGAUCAGACUGUCAGUCAAUCAGCUGAUCACUGAUCAAUAACUGCAGCUGUUUUGUGUUUUCUUCUGUCCAUCAGAUUUCUGUGAACUCACCCUGGAUCCAAACACAGCGCACAGAGAACUGAAACUGUCUGAAAACAACAAGAAGGUGGAACGAGUGAAGGGGCGUCUGUCAUAUCCAAAACAUCAGGACAGAUUUGACUACUGGCCUCAGCUGAUGUGCUCAACUGGUCUGACUGGUCGCUGUUACUGGGAGGUCCAGUGGAGUGGAAACGUUGAUAUAUCAGUGACUUACAGAAGAAUCAGAAGGAAAGGAAACAGUGAUGACUGUGAGUUUGGAAGAAAUGAUCAGUCCUGGAGUCUGUGGUGUUUUGGAGAUGGAUACAGUGUCUGGCAUAAAAACAAAUGCACAUCCCUCCCUCAGUCCUCCUCCUCCUCCUCCUCCUCCUCCUCCUCCUCCUCCUCUGGUACAGUCUCAGUGUAUGUGGACUGUCCUGCUGGAUCUGUGUCCUUCUACAGAGUCUCCUCUGACAAACUGAUCCACCUGCACACCUUCAAAACCACAUUCACUGAACCACUGUUUGCAGGAUUUGCACUGUGGAGGCAGGGAUCCACAGUGUGUUUGUGUGAUGUGUAGUUGUGUUGUGUAGUUGUGUUAUGUAGUUGUGUAGUUGUGUUUUGUAGUUGUGUUGUUUUGUUGUGUAGUUGUGUUGUGUAUUGUUUAGUUGUGUAGUUGUGUUGUGUAGUUGUGUAGUGUCCAUAAAAUGGUUGUGCUCAAAUCAGUGUCAUUUGAACACAGUUGUGUGUGAGUUGAUGCUCUACAAAUACACAAACAUUUAGAAACACCAAGAACAUAAAUCAGCCUCAGUUCUUCAACAGUUGUCUUGUUUCUUUGGAUGCUUUCUAUGUUUAUAAAAUUAGAAAUGAAUCCAACCAGUAGUUUGACAGAAGAAUUGCUCAUGAAGACGACGCCUCCACAAUAACUCAUCUGUGUGCAUUUUUUCCACAGUGAGAGGAUUAGGACUGUAGACUGAAAAUGACAAUUCCAGUAAAGGAGCGCAUUUACAGAAGAAAGACAGAAUGUUGCAUCCAAUUCUCUUUUUUCUCCAUAUAUUCUCCCUUUAUUUUGUGUCCAUGUCCAUUUGCAUAAACAGCUGUUUCUCAGUGGAAUUCCAGUCUUUGAGUCCUAAAGGCUCAUGAGUGUCAUGUGUGUGAGUCUUCCUUCAUGGACACUUCAGCAGCUGAACACAAGAGGGCGCCGUCAUCCUGUUCAAACACAUCCACUCAGUCUGUGCAUUUUCAAUCCACAUGUCUGUAGAUUCCAUCCAAAACUCCUGCUGUGUCUGCCACAUAUGAGGAGGAAUUACUGCUGUUAAAGAUCACACUCACACAUGAGUCCAUUUUAUGGACUUGGACUUUGAACAAAGAGUGAAUUCAUGUGAAAAUCAUCUGUUUUUUCACAUGUUGAUGCUUUUGUUUGAAUAAAUGCAGAUCAAACUCAAUCCUUUACUCAUGCAGAUUAUUGUCCAUUUUUCAUCCGAUGUAAAAUGACAAAUAAAAGCAUCUGAAUUGAA